UACGAAGGGGGCUAGCGUUGCUCGGAAUCACUGGGCGUAAAGCGCACGUAGGCGGGUUGCUAAGUCAGGGGUGAAAUCCUGGAGCUCAACUCCAGAACUGCCCUUGAUACGUGCGGACUUGAGUGCGGAAGAGGGUCGUGGAAUUCCCAGUGUAGAGGUGAAAAUUCGUAGAUAUUGGGAAGAACACCGGUGGCGAAGGCGGCGACCUGGUCCGAUACUGACGCUGAGGCGCGAAAGCGUGGGGAGCAAACAGG
rnacentral:rRNA from 1 species